UACGGAGGUGCAGCAGUGUCGGCAUUUAUUGGGUUUAAAGGGUGCGUAGGUGGCUUUUUAAGUCAGGGGUGAAAGACGGUAGCUUAACUAUCGCAGUGCCUUUGAUACUGAAGAGCUUGAAUGAACUAGAGGUAGGCGGAAUGUGACAAGUAGCGGUGAAAUGCAUAGAUAUGUCACAGAACACCAAUUGCGAAGGCAGCUUACUAUGGUUUGAUUGACACUGAGGCACGAAAGCGUGGGGGAUCAAACAGG
rnacentral:rRNA from 1 species